GAGUUUGAUCAUGGCUCAGGACGAGCGCUGGCGGCGUGCUUAACACAUGCAAGUCGAGCGAAGGAAUACUUAGGAAGCCUUCGGGAAGAAUACGUAUUUCUUAGCGGCGGACGGGUGAGUAACGCGUGAGGAAUCUGCCUCGCACAAGGGGAUAGCCUCGGGAAACCGGGAUUAAUACCCUAUGAUACUUACACUGCGCUUGCAGAGUAAGUUAAAGGAUAUCGGUGUGAGAUGGCCUCGCGUCCCAUUAGCUUGUUGGCAGGGUAAAAGCCUACCAAGGCGACGAUGGGCAGCCGGCCUGAGAGGGUGAACGGCCACAUUGGAACUGAGACACGGUCCAGACUCCUACGGGAGGCAGCAGUGGGGAAUAUCGCACAAUGGAGGGAACUCUGAUGCAGCAACGCCGCGUGAGCGAAGAAGGUUUUAGGAUCGUAAAGCUCUGUCCUAGGGGAAGAUAAUGACGGUACCCGAGGAGGAAGCCCCGGCUAACUACGUGCCAGCAGCCGCGGUAAUAC
rnacentral:rRNA from 1 species